rnacentral:tRNA from 3 species
GCAGGCAUAGUUUAAUGGUAGAAUUUGUGCUUCCCAAGCAUACGGUGCGGGUUCGAUUCCCGUUGCCUGCUCCA